GACGAACGCUGGCGGCGUGCUUAACACAUGCAAGUCGAACGGGGAAGCGAGGGCUAGCACUCGUGGAGCAGGGGCGAACGGGGGAGUAACACGUGAGUAACCUGCCCAUCACUGUGGGAGAAGCACUGGAAACGGAGUCUAAUACUGGAUACGACCAAUCCCUGCAGGGGGGGUUGGUGGAAAGAUUGAUCGGUGAUGGAUGGACUCGCGACCUAGCAGCUUGUUGGCGGGGUAAGGGCCCACCAAGGCGACGACGGGGAGCCGGCCUGAGAGGGUGACCGGCCACACUGGGCCUGCGCCACGGCCCAGACUCCUCCGGGAGGCAGCAGUGGGGAAUAUUGCACUAUGGGCGAAAGCCUGGUGCAGCGCCGCCGCGUGGGGGAUGACGGCCUUCGGGUUGUAAACCUCUUCCCGCAGGGACGAAGCGAAAGUGACGGUACCUGCAGAAGAAGCACCGGCUAACUCCGUG
rnacentral:rRNA from 1 species